AUACGGAGGAUGCAAGCGUUAUCCGGAUUUAUUGGGUUUAAAGGGUGCGUAGGCGGUUUGCUAAGCGGGAGGUGAAAUGCCGGCGCUCAACGUCGGAAGUGCCUCCCGAACUGGUGGACUUGAAUGACUCUGCCGUGGGAGGAAUGUGUAGUGUAGCGGUGAAAUGCUUAGAGAUUACACAGAACACCGAUUGCGAAGGCAUCUCACGAAGGGGUGAUUGACGCUGAGGCACGAAAGCGUGGGGAUCAAACAGGAUUAGAUACCCUGGUAGUCCACGCAGUAAACGAUGAUGGCUAACCGCUGGGCUUAUCAGUUCAGUGGCCAAGCGAAAGCGAUAAGCCAUCCACCUGGGGAGUACGACCGCAAGGUUGAAACUCAAAUGAAUUGACGGGG
rnacentral:rRNA from 1 species